rnacentral:misc_RNA from 1 species
UUUGGCCAAAUUUAUAUCUCAUUAAAUGAUUAUAAAACAAAGAAUAUCAGUGGCAGUAAGGAAUUUAUUCCAUAAACUUGAGCAAGGUUGCACAACUGAUGAAACACCAACAAAGUAUGACGAGUCUGUUACAUACGUCUCCGGAUAAACAGUCCCAAAUUACUUCCCAGUUCCCACCAACAGGUUGUCAGGGACGCUGGAAGAUCCAUCUCUUAGCAAAUUUUGAAAGCACAAAAGAAGAAAAAGAGGGAAAGAUCUUGAUGUGUUGCAGCAUCUAGGCAUUGGCAGUUUUGGGGAUGAGAGGUAUG